rnacentral:misc_RNA from 1 species
GAUGAAGAACGCAGCGAAACGCGAUACGUAAUGUGAAUUGCAGAAUUCAGUGAAUCAUCGAAUCUUUGAACGCACAUUGCGCCUGCCAGCACUCUGGCAGGCAUGCCUGUUCGAGCGUCAUUUCAACCAUCAAGCCCUAGGCUUGCGUUGGAGCCCUGCGGCUGCCGCAGGCCCCUAAAAGCAGUGGCGGGCUCGCUAUCACACCGAGUGCAGUAGAUUACUCUUCGCUCAGGGCGUGUGGCGGGUUCCAGCCGUGAAACCCCCUACUUCUCAAGGUUGACCUCGGAUCAGGUAGGAAUACCCGCUGAACUUAAGCAUAUCAAUAAGCGGAGGA